ensembl:snRNA U6 U6 spliceosomal RNA
GUGCUCGCUUUGAUAGCCCUCAUACUAACAUUGGAAUAAUACAGAGAAGAUAUGUACAGGCCUCUGAGCAAGGAUGGCACAAAGUCAAUAUUUUUUUUAAAAGUCUUA